rnacentral:rRNA from 1 species
AUUGAACGCUGGCGGUAUGCUUAACACAUGCAAGUCGAACGGUAGCAGCUCUUCGGAGGCUGACGAGUGGCGGACGGGUGAGUAACGCGUAGGAAUCUGCCUAUUAGUGGGGGGACAACUUGUGGAAACGCAAGCUAAUACCGCAUACGCCCUACGGGGGAAAGGAGGGGAUCUUCGGACCUUUCGCUAAUAGAUGAGCCUGCGUUAGAUUAGCUAGUUGGUGGGGUAAGAGCCUACCAAGGCGACGAUCUAUAGCUGUUCUGAGAGGAAGAUCAGCCACACUGGGACUGAGACACGGCCCAGACUCCUACGGGAGGCAGCAGUGGGGAAUAUUGGACAAUGGGCGAAAGCCUGAUCCAGCAAUACCGCGUGUGUGAAGAAGGCCUUAGGGUUGUAAAGCACUUUCAAUUGGGAGGAAAAACAAGGGUUAAUACCCCUUGUCUUGACAUUACCUUUAGUAAGAAGACACCGGCUAACUCCGUAGCCAGCAGCCG